rnacentral:piRNA from 1 species
UAGUUUCCCCGUAAUCGGAAU